UAUCAAACUACUUUGUCAUGCUUUGUGCACUGACAUUCUUGCAAAACCAUUCAUACCCAUGCUAAAUUAUGGAAAUGUAAAAGUUGAAUUGUAUUGAAAAGGACCAUGUAUGGUCAUGUAGUAUAUUUGAGCACUGAAACCCCUUUUUUUUACAUUUUAGAGAGGGAGGCAACACUCGAAAGCUACAUCAAGGACACCGGAGGAAGGACCAGAAGACCUGAGACCCAGACGACCCAGACGACCCAAGCCCAACCCGUAGUAUGCUUCACUGACCCAGACGACCCAAGCCCAACCCGUAGUAUGCUUCACUGACCCAGACGACCCAAGCCCAACCCGUAGUAUGCUUCACUGACCCAGACGACCCAAGCCCAACCCGUAGUAUGCUUCACUGACCAAGACGACCCAAGCCCAACCCGUAGUAUGCUUCACUGACAAAUGUUGAUGUUGAUGCUUCAUCAUCACAUAGACCAAAGGUUUCAGAGAAGGCUGGUAGAGCUCUCUAUGAGUGUGAGCUGUGGGAGAUAACCCAGAACUGACAACCACCUAAAGAAGAGGUGGCGAUAAUGGCUCUCCAAGAGGAGGUUGUGAGUCUGAAGGCUUUUAUUCAACAAGGAGGCACUUAGAGGGAAUGCCUGAACCCUGAGAGGACUAAGACGAUAAUUGAGGCCACCCUGAAGCAGUUCCCAGGCCAGACACUCACUCCAGAUUGCUGGGCCAGGCAAUAAAUGACAAAGUGACAGAACUGAGGUUCCAUAACAAAAACAAAGAUUUUCAAUAAAAUAGAAUAAAAGAUAA